rnacentral:lncRNA from 1 species
UAUUGUAUAAAAUAUAAAUAUCUAAUGCACUAUAUAACUACAUAAAACUUUAAAAUAACACUUCGUCCAUUUAUAUGAUUAAAAAUAGAUAAAAUAAUUUGUUACAUUAGAGUUCUACAACCUCUUUGAUAUUUAUCUUUUUUUUCUUUGAUAUUUAUCUUACUUAAACUAUGUGAAAAUUCUAAAAAAAAAUAAGAAGUCGACAUUGAAAAAGAACAUAGUACAUUGAUAAAUCAACGGUCCCAUAAACAGUUAAUAAUAACGACAAAAUCGUCUUAAAAUGAUUUAAAUUCAAUUUUGUCUUUAUAAUUCAAGCAUCAUCCUUGUCAUUUUCAUAUAUACACAUUUUUCUUUCCCGUAAGAUGCAAAUUUCAUGGAUAUUAAAUCGAAAUCAAGAUUAGUUUUGUAUACAUUGGGUUGAAAACCAUGUAAGUAUAGUAUUUUUCAUCCAUUUAUAGUGGCUACAAAAAGACAUGCUUAGCUUAUCUAAAUAAUUAUGUCUUUAUUCUCUCAAUAGCUAUUUGAAAAAAUAUGAAAAUAUAUUCACUCUUAUAUAAAUCACUGAUUUAAAACUCACAACUGUAUUAUUCGAACAAAUCAAAGGCAUAAAUUAUUCGAAUCUUGAACGAGUCAAUUCAUCUUAUUUUUUAAUGUAUAAAACAAUCGAAAUGAAAGGUUUUACACGUUAAUAUUAAAACAAUAAUAUAUAUAUAUAUAUAAUGUAAUAACAAUAUAUACAUAUAAUAUAUGUAUUGGACUUAGUAAUCAUUUAUUUCAUCAUGCACAUUACAUGUAUAAUAUACUAAUUAAAAAAUCCAAGUGAGAGAGGACCUUCUUAAAUGAGUAAAUAGCACAAUAAAGAAAGCCAAAUUGAGUUUGAGCAAUGCAAAAAUACAUACACUAUUAAAGUACGUAGGUCGUAGCAAUACGCGUUUAUCAUAAGGGAUCCUAAAGUAUAGAUAAACAGUUUUAUGUAUAUUAUUAUAUAUACACAAAAAAAAAAACAAUCAUAUAAUAUCGUACAUGUGAAAUGGGCCAUGUUUGUUUUUACCUAAAAUCAUUGAAACU